UAGCCUUUUUAUUAGUUAUUUGUAAACUUAUACAUGCAAGUAUCAUCACACCGGUGAGAAUACCCUCUAAACCUGUCACAGGUUAAAAGGAGUUGGUAUUAAGCACGCUACUAAAGCAGCUCAUAACACCUUGCUUAGCCACACCCCCACGGGAAACAGCAGUAAUAAAAAUUAAGCAAUAAACGAAAGUUUGACUAAGUUAUACAAUCUAAUUAGGGUUGGUUAAUCUCGUGCCAGCCACCGCGGUCAUACGAUUAACCCAUAUUAAUAAAUGUACGGCGUAAAAGUGUUUUAGCAAUUACAACAAAUUAGGUUAAAUUUUGUCUAAGCUGUAAAAAGCUUUAGGCGUAAACAUAAAUCAAAAACGAAAGUAACCUUAAUAUAGCUGAAUACACGAAAGCUAAGACCCAAACUGGGAUUAGAUACCCCACUAUGCUUAGCCGUAAACAAAAAAACUCAAACAACAAGAGUUUCCGCCCGAGAACUACUAGCAAUAGCUUAAAACUCAAAGGACUUGGCGGUGCUUUAUACCCACCUAGAGGAGCCUGUUCUAUAAUCGAUAAACCCCGAUACACCUUACCAUUCCUUGCUAAUUCAGCCUAUAUACCGCCAUCUUCAGCAAACCCAAUCAUGGAAUCAAAGUAAGCUUAAUUAUCAUGCAUAAAAACGUUAGGUCAAGGUGUAGCUAAUGGAAUGGAAAGAAAUGGGCUACAUUUUCUUACUAAAGAACAAUUUAACGAAAAUCUUUAUGAAAUUUAAAGAUUAAAGGAGGAUUUAGUAGUAAACUAAGAAUAGAGAGCUUAGUUGAACUAGGCCAUGAAGCACGUACACACCGCCCGUCACCCUCCUCAAGUAUUUAAUUACUUAAUAAUAACUAUGCAUAUAUAAGAGGAGACAAGUCGUAACAAGGUAAGCAUACUGGAAAGUGUGCUUGGA
rnacentral:ncRNA from 1 species